GGAAGACGCAGCCUUGCUCUGUCAGCACCUGCAAAGAAAAGGCAAUCGACAGUUAAGAGGGAAGGAAAAAGCUUGCAGAGCUCAGGGGCUGCUACUAAAACUGUCAACACUGCUCACUGGCUGAAGGAAGGCCAGUUGCUAGGUGAUCUCUCUUAGCAAGUGAUUAGCGUGGGUCUUAAAAGGCUCCGAGACGAAGGAUCAUUUCACACAUCUGCCAGUGUCGUCACUCCGGGGCCGGGCCGGAGGUGGACGUCUGAACGGAUGGAUGGUGGGGAGGAGAACAGCGGGAUGACAGAGUUCUCCCGAGACACUUGGACAAGCAGCGGGGCGAGGUGGCACUGAUAAAUGUCACUCGAGAUAACCGGGCUGACGUGCGAGAACGCAUCGGCGUGCGAGUGUUCGUGCGUCCACUCAUCUCGUCAGGACUCCUCGUCUCCUCGUUUCCUACUCGGCUGUCUGCGUGCCGCUCUAUUACCGUUCGCUCGUGCUGCGCAAACAUUUGUUCCCCACUGUGUCUCUAUCUGUCUCUCCUGCUCCUUUCUCAUGUGCCGCUUUUACAAACGCUCAGAAAUCGAGUUUAAAUAGAGAGGCUGGAUUGCCAAGGAAAUGAUGGGUUGACGUGACAACAUACAAGAACAUUGUAUAAAAUCCUCUUUCCAUGUAUUUCUUUUUAAAACCAGCUGAAGAAAAAUGUAUUUCAACCCUAAUUGUAACCCAAAUGUCAACGUCAAAGCUUUCCUUUCGAUAAUAACAUUGUAUUUCCGCAUCCAAGCCAUUAUUCCCUCUCCUGCAACACUUUUGAUAAUACCUCUACCAUUUCUUCCAAAAUAGACACAGAGCAACUACUUACACCCGCUUUAUUUGCCCUAACCACCACCUCGCUGCAAUAAUAAGCGAGCAUGCAUGCGACUGCCCGCUUUGGCAAAGACCCCAACUUCAUCCACAGCUGUACAACGCAUGGCUUCCUCUGGUUGCACACAGCUUGAUGGGACCAUGAAGGGCAGCUGGGGGAAGGCUCGUGAGUCAGUUGGCAUACAUUGUUCCGCCCCCAUAAAAAUUAUUUUAAAAAAAAGGCAAAUGGGAGGGCACUGCAGCCCGAAUGCAUUUUCCACAAACAAACAGUCAUUACAAGCCUGACCUCAUAUAAACUUCAUGAGAGUAGAGCGCCACAAAUUAUACGUUUUUUUUUUUUUUUUACCCCAUUUUACUGUGAUUUAAUUUUUUGAAAUUGGUAAUAGGAAACCAUCAUGCAGGUCUUGAUUGACUUGUUAUUUCACUUUUUUUUUUUUUUUUUUGCAUUAGCGAUUCAAAAUCUGCUAAAGAGCGUUGCAGCACUCAGACUAAUUGCACUUAUUACUUUUCUAAAAGCAUCACUGCCUAAAGUACAGGCAAUUUUAAGUACCGUACCAAAUAUCACUGAGAUAAAGGUGCUAAUUAUUGUGAUUAUAUAAAAUGGGGCGACAUGGCAACAGCCAUCCAGUGGUUAAAAGCAAUUACACGCCCAUAAUCAUCACUACAAACAAAAACUUUUAUGAGUUCUGACCGAUGCUCUGACAUCGCCAAGGUAAUUCAAUGUUGCCUGGCAACGAGUACAAUUACCGAAAGGAAGCACUUGAAGCAAGUGCUGAACUUUAGCCCGGUGGUUUCUCCCAAACCCAAACAGUGCGCCAAGUAAGCCGCUGUGUGACGUGAAUGUGUUCUGUGCGAUAAGAGAUGUGAGAUGAGACGGCGGCCGGGCGGGGGUGGGCGCAUUUUUCAGAGCGAGACAUCAGAGCAAGGAUUUCAUAACGAGACUUCAGCUUUAGCCCAGGCUAACGGUGGAUUGUUUUGUGGGUACUUUCUCUUACGCCUAUGACUUUAACAUUUACACCUCCGCACGAUGCAUCUUUCUUGACGCUGGCAUUUCUUCAUGUCUCAAGUCAGAGGUGAACUCUGUCAAGUCACUUAAUGGAAUGACACUUUUAACCUGAGGCACUUUUGGAUUACUUUGUGUCCGUCAGAGUUCAGCGAUCAAAGCCAGCGCUCGGGUGCAGAACAAGGAGAAAAGAUUAAGAAGUGGCUCCGGCACGCAUGAAUCACGUCGGCGGCGUAC